CCUACGGGAGGCAGCAGUGGGGAAUAUUGGACAAUGGGGGAAACCCUGAUCCAGCGACGCCGCGUGAGUGAAGAAGUAUUUCGGUACGUAAAGCUCUAUCAGCAGGAAAGAAAAUGACGGUACCUGACUAAGAAGCCCCGGCUAACUACGUGCCAGCAGCCGCGGUAAUACGUAGGGGGCAAGCGUUAUCCGGAUUUACUGGGUGGAAAGGGAGCGUAGACGGCAGCGCAAGUCUGGAGUGAAAUGCCCGGGGCCCAACCCCGGAACUGCUCUGGAAACUGUGAAGCUGGAGUGCAGGAGAGGUAAGCGGAAUUCCUGGUGUAGCGGUGAAAUGCGUAGAUAUCAGGAGGAACACCGGCGGCGAAGGCGGCUUACUGGACUGUAACUGACGUUGAGGCUCGAAGGCGUGGGGAGCAAACAGGAUUAGAUACCCGAGUAGUC
rnacentral:rRNA from 1 species